rnacentral:rRNA from 1 species
AUGAACGCUAGCGGCAGGCUUAACACAUGCAAGUCGAGGGGCAGCAUAAUGGAUAGCAAUAUCUAUGGUGGCGACCGGCGCACGGGUGCGUAACGCGUAUGCAACCUACCUUUAACAGGGGGAUAACACUGAGAAAUUGGUACUAAUACCCCAUAAUAUCAUAGAAGGCAUCUUUUAUGGUUGAAAAUUCCGAUGGUUAGAGAUGGGCAUGCGUUGUAUUAGCUAGUUGGUGGGGUAACGGCUCACCAAGGCGACGAUACAUAGGGGGACUGAGAGGUUAACCCCCCACACUGGUACUGAGACACGGACCAGACUCCUACGGGAGGCAGCAGUGAGGAAUAUUGGUCAAUGGACGCAAGUCUGAACCAGCCAUGCCGCGUGCAGGAUGACGGCUCUAUGAGUUGUAAACUGCUUUUGUACGAGGGUAAACGCAGAUACGUGUAUCUGUCUGAAAGUAUCGUACGAAUAAGGAUCGGCUAACUCCGUGCCAGCAGCCGCGGUAAUACGGAGGAUUCAAGCGUUAUCCGGAUUUAUUGGGUUUAAAGGGUGCGUAGGCGGUUUGAUAAGUUAGAGGUGAAAUUUCGGGGCUCAACCCUGAACGUGCCUCUAAUACUGUUGAGCUAGAGAGUAGUUGCGGUAGGCGGAAUGUAUGGUGUAGCGGUGAAAUGCUUAGAGAUCAUACAGAACACCGAUUGCGAAGGCAGCUUACCAAACUAUAUCUGACGUUGAGGCACGAAAGCGUGGGGAGCAAACAGGAUUAGAUACCCUGGUAGUCCACGCAGUAAACGAUGAUAACUCGUUGUCGGCGAUACACAGUCGGUGACUAAGCGAAAGCGAUAAGUUAUCCACCUGGGGAGUACGUUCGCAAGAAUGAAACUCAAAGGAAUUGACGGGGGCCCGCACAAGCGGAGGAACAUGUGGUUUAAUUCGAUGAUACGCGAGGAACCUUACCCGGGCUUAAAUUGCAACCGAAUAUGGCGGAAACGCCAUAGCUAGCAAUAGCGGUUGUGAAGGUGCUGCAUGGUUGUCGUCAGCUCGUGCCGUGAGGUGUCGGGUUAAGUCCCAUAACGAGCGCAACCCCUACCGUUAGUUGCCAUCAGGCGAAGCUGGGCACUCUGGCGGGACUGCCGGUGUAAGCCGAGAGGAAGGUGGGGAUGACGUCAAAUCAGCACGGCCCUUACGUCCGGGGCUACACACGUGUUACAAUGGUAGGUACAGAGGGCAGCUACCCAGCGAUGGGAUGCGAAUCUCGAAAGCCUAUCUCAGUUCGGAUUGGAGGCUGAAACCCGCCUCCAUGAAGUUGGAUUCGCUAGUAAUCGCGCAUCAGCCAUGGCGCGGUGAAUACGUUCCCGGGCCUUGUACACACCGCCCGUCAAGCCAUGGGAGCCGGGGGUGCCUGAAGUUCGUGACCGCAAGGAGCGACCUAGGGCAAAACUGGUGACUGGGGCU